AAAUAAUUCGAUAAGUUUAAAAUGUCUUUUAAUUUAGUUCAUCGAGUUAAUCAAUUCUAACUAAAAUGUUUUUAGUCAAUAGCAAAACAAAGUGGCCAAUAUAAUGCAUAUUUUCACGUUUUUCUUGAAUUAUGCAUGCAUUCAAUCAUGAUUCAUAAGAACAAAUGGGCAAUAGUUAUCCAGUGCUAUACCAGCAAGUAAGCAUGGAAUAGAUCUAUAAUUUAUCUGUUAAGUUUACUUAUACUUACAAAAUAUGAACAUGAUUUGAUCGCACUGGUUUAUGAAUGCAAAACAGGAAUAUGUCUGAUAAGAAGAAGAGAAUAUGAGUUAGUUGCUUACCUGUAUCUCAAUGAGAACGUUGGAAUAAGCGUAAGCAAAGGCAAUGUCACCAAUAGCUUGAAAGGUCCU
rnacentral:lncRNA from 1 species